UUUCAAUCCGAAAAAGGCAGAUCGGAGCAAUUUAAUGAAUAUACGACGCUUUUCCGAGACUGACAUAAGAUGAAACUACGAAAAGAAAUGAAAAUUCAAGAGAUUAACACAAUGUUGAAACAAAAGUGAAGUCAAAUUCCAAAAAAGGCAGAUCUGGAGAGCCAUAAGCUAAAUUAGAAAAA